rnacentral:rRNA from 1 species
GAUGAACGCUGGCGGCGUGCCUAAUACAUGCAAGUCGAGCGAACAGACGAGGAGCUUGCUCCUUCGACGUUAGCGGCGGACGGGUGAGUAACACGUAGGUAACCUACCUAUAAGACUGGGAUAACUUCGGGAAACCGGAGCUAAUACCGGAUAAUAUUUCGAACCGCAUGGUUCGAUAGUGAAAGAUGGCUUUGCUAUCACUUAUAGAUGGACCUGCGCCGUAUUAGCUAGUUGGUAAGGUAACGGCUUACCAAGGCAACGAUACGUAGCCGACCUGAGAGGGUGAUCGGCCACACUGGAACUGAGACACCGUCCAGACUCCUACGGGAGGCAGCAGUAGGGAAUCUUCCGCAAUGGGCGAAAGCCUGACGGAGCAACGCCGCGUGAGUGAUGAAGGUCUUCGGAUCGUAAAACUCUGUUAUUAGGGAAGAACAAACGUGUAAGUAACUGUGCACGUCUUGACGGUACCUAAUCAGAAAGCCACGGCUAACUACGUG